rnacentral:rRNA from 1 species
GAUGAACGCUGGCGGCGUGCUUAACACAUGCAAGUCGAACGAUGAAGCCCAGCUUGCUGGGUGGAUUAGUGGCGAACGGGUGAGUAACACGUGAGUAACCUGCCCUUGACUCUGGGAUAAGCCUGGGAAACUGGGUCUAAUACUGGAUAUGACUUCUCAUCGCAUGGUGGGGGGGGGAAAGAUUUAUUGGUCUUGGAUGGACUCGCGGCCUAUCAGCUUGUUGGUGGGGUAAUGGCUCACCAAGGCGACGACGGGUAGCCGGCCUGAGAGGGUGACCGGCCACACUGGGACUGAGACACGGCCCAGACUCCUACGGGAGGCAGCAGUGGGGAAUAUUGCACAAUGGGCGCAAGCCUGAUGCAGCGACGCCGCGUGAGGGAUGACGGCCUUCGGGUUGUAAACCUCUUUCAGUAGGGAAGAAGCGAGAGUGACGGUACCUGCAGAAGAAGCGCCGGCUAACCACGUG